GGUUGGGUCCUGCGCAACGGGAGCCCGUGAACCGAGUCAGGGCCGGAAGGCAGCAGCUCUCAGCGGAUCCGCCCGUGUGCCGCAGUAAGCCUGACCGUC
rnacentral:SRP_RNA from 1 species